rnacentral:misc_RNA from 1 species
UCCGAGUUGACCCCGGCAGUCUCCUACGAGUCCCCACCAUUACGUGCUGGCAACAUGGAACGAGGGUUGCGCUCGUUGCGGGACUUAACCCAACAUCUCACGACACGAGCUGACGACAACCAUGCACCACCUGUUCAGGACCCUUGCGGACCUCACAUCUCUGUGAGAUUUCCCUGAAUGUCAAGCCUUGGUAAGGUUCUUCGCGUCGCAUCGAAUUAAGCCACAUGCUCCGCCGCUUGUGCGGGCCCCCGUCAAUUCCUUUGAGUUUUAGCCUUGCGGCCGUACUCCCCAGGCGGGGCGCUUAAUGCGUUAGCUACGACACGGAAACCGUGGAAAGGUCCCCCCAUCUAGCGCCCAACGUUUACGGCGUGGACUAC